CGGGGACCCGCCCUCUCCAGGCUCCUCCCCUGCCGCCCAGCUCCCUCUUCCGUGGCCCCUGACUGCCCCUUCCCCUCCCUUGGACCCUGCCCAGCCCAGGCAAGGGAUAGGGGGCUCUCAGACCGCAGCUGCCAGAGCUGGGGUGGCUUUUGAGCAGGUGACCCGCCCAGCAGAGCUGGAGAAAGCCAUCCUGGCAGAGAGAACAGCAGGUGCAAAGGCCCUGAGGUCGGAAUACUUUGGAAGCUUGAGUGACAGCCGGAAGUCCAGUGUGGCCAGCCCAGGAAGUCUGGGAAGGUGGUCCAGGUGGACAGGGUGGCUCUGGAGGGCCUGGAAGGUGGCAGUGAAGAGGCUUGUGGACCACAUGUGAUGACUUUCUUCAACUCCCUGAUGUACAACCAGGCAUGUGUGUCCAUCUGCCACAUCGGAAGCCAGUGGGCAUGCUCUGGGGCUACCGUGACACCGCGCCACACACUGGGUGCCCUGGGAUGCAGAAACGUGUGGUUCCAGGGUUCUGGGGCCAGAAGUCUGAGACCAAGGUGCUGGCGGGCCGCGCUCCCUCCAACGGCGCUUAUCCCGGCCCCUGUCCAGCUGCCGACGGUUCCCAGGCAUGUGGCGGCAUCACUCCAGUCUUCUUAUUGGUUAUUUUUUUUUGAGGAAGAUUAGCCCUGCACUAACUGCUGCCAAUCCUCCUCUUUUUGCUGAGGAAGACUGGCCCUGAGCUAACAUUCGUGCCCAUCUUCCUCUAUUUUGUAUGUGGGACGCCUACCACAGCAUGGCUUUUGCCAAGCAGUGCCAUGUCUGCAACCGGGAUCCGAACCGGUGAACCCCAGGCUGCCGAGAAACAGAACGUGCACACUUAACCUCUGUGCCACCAGGCCUUCACAGGGCCAUAUCCUCCCUUUGUGCAUCCAAGUGUCCCCUUGUUAUAGGGACACCUGUCCUAAUGGAUUAGGGCCGCAAUGACCUCACAUAACUUGACUGCCUCUGUAAAGGCCCUGUCUCCACACAAGGUCAAGUUCUGAGGGGUGGGGGUUCGGACUUCAGCAUAGGAAUGUGGGGGGACACAGGCCAGCCCAUAACAGAGGGGAUGGGGGCGGCCUCUUUUCCCGGCAGCCUGUGCCUGCUUACACGCAGCGAAGGCCUCCAUCUGUGCCAUUAGGGGGCGGGGGUGGCCCAAGACCUCUGCCAUGCACUACAGGAAACCACUGUCACACCUCAGAACAGCCACUCCGCCCAAGCCACCUUCAGAAGCAGUGGGAGGCCCCCGGGGCGGGCUCUGCGGGAGGAACCGCAGUGACAGGAACUGCGAGCCCGGCUGUCUCCGCCUCCUGUCCACCUUUUCUGGGGCAUCUUGCAAUGGCACGCGAGUGCCAACACCACCAACCCUGUGCAGGGAGGGAAACUGAGGCAGGCAGGGGAAGGCGCCCAGUCCACCUCAGAGGACAGACCUCAUGGGCCAC
rnacentral:lncRNA from 1 species